UACAUAGGCAGCGAGCGUUGUUCGGAGUUACUGGGCGUAAAGGGUGUGUAGGCGGUUGUUUAAGUUUGGUGUGAAAUCUCCCGGCUCAACUGGGAGGGUGCGCCGAAUACUGAAUGACUUGGAGUGCGGGAGAGGAAAGUGGAAUUCCUGGUGUAGCGGUGAAAUGCGUAGAUAUCAGGAGGAACACCGGUGGUGUAGACGGCUUUCUGGACCGUAACUGACGCUGAGACACGAAAGCGUGGGUAGCAAACAGG
rnacentral:rRNA from 1 species